UUGAAACAACGGUUUUCGUACGAUUACCGAAGUUAAGCAACGUUGUGCCUGGUCAGUACCAAGAUAGUUGCCCGCUUGUGAAUACCAGGAGCUGUAA